rnacentral:pre_miRNA from 1 species
AGCCUUCUGUAUCCGUGCUGAGAUUUCGUCACACACCACAAGGGCUGAUGAGACUUCCAAGAUAAGUGAAGCG